AUACGGAGGAUCCGAGCGUUAUCCGGAUUUAUUGGGUUUAAAGGGUGCGUAGGCUGUGCGUUAAGUCAGGGGUGAAAUGCCGUCGCUCAACGUCGGAGCUGCCCUUGAUACUGGCGUGCUGGAGUACGGAUGCCGUUGGAGGAAUGAGCGGUGUAGCGGUGAAAUGCUUAGAUAUCACUCAGAACACCGAUUGCGAAGGCAUCUGACGAAUCCGUCACUGACGCUGAGGCACGAAAGCGUGGGGAGCAAACAGGAUUAGAUACCCUGGUAGUCCGCACAGUAAACGAUGAAUACUCGCUGUUUGCGAUACACGGUAAGCGGCCAAGCGAAAGCGUUAAGUAUUCCACCUGGGGAGUACGCCGGCAACGGUGAAACUUAAAGGAAUUGACGGGG
rnacentral:rRNA from 1 species